rnacentral:rRNA from 1 species
UCAAUAGCCUAACGGCUGAACCAGCCAUUUGGCUGAACAUGUAUUAAUUAUUAAUACGUUAAGGGAUUAUGUCUUAUUAAGUUCUAAAUAAUAAGCUGAUAAUGACAAUUUAUUAUUUAAAAGUCUUGACCAAAUCUUGUGCCAGCAGUCGCGGCAAUACAAGUAAGACUAGUGUUAUUCAUCUUUAUUAGGUUUAAAAGGUACCUAGAUUGCAAUUUUAGCCUUAUUAGGGGACAAAAUAUGCUAGAGUUUUAUGUGAGAGGUAGAUGUUAGAGCUGUCGGUGUAGAGAUGAAAUAUUUUGAUACAGGCAGAAAUGAUGAUGGUAAAUACAGACCUUUAUGUAAAAACUGACAUUGAGGGACGAAGGCCUGGGUAGCGAAUAGGAUUAGACACCCUAGUAGUCCAGGCAGAGAAUUAUGAGUGUUAUAUGUUAUUACGCAAAAUUAUGGUAUCUCCAAGUACUGUAAUUAAAAGCGAUAUGUAAUGUAUAAAUUAAAGUGUAAGCAUUCCACCUCAAGAGUAAUGCGGCAACGCAGGAACUGAAAUCAUUAGACCGUUUCUGAAACCAGUAGUGAAGUAUGUUAUUUAAUUCGAUGAUCCUCGAAUAACCUUACCACAAUUUGAAUGUAUUAACAUAAUAACAGCAUUUGCAUAAAAUUUAAUUUUAUUGCGCUGAUAGUAUGUUAAUAUCACAGGCGUUGCACGGUUGUCUUUAGUUGAUGUCGUGAGACUAUGAUUAGAUUCAUUAAAUCAGCGUAAACCCUUAUUUUAUUUAAUAAAUAUGGAAUAGUGCACCACAUUUUUUGUGGAUGUGAUAACAGGGAUAAGACAAAUCAUCAUGACCUUAAUAUUGUGGG